rnacentral:lncRNA from 1 species
AAAAAUCGACCGAACAGAGGUUGGAGACGAUCGGAGAAGACCUAGGAGUCGGCUCUAGGGCUUUUUGAACAGUGGCGGCUUGAAAGAAAAGUGUUUGCGAAACGACAAACCUAGGGUUAAAAAGUCGGAUCCCGACUGCGAGUCGACUCCCCUGAGUCGCGAGUCGACUCGACCUCGAGUCGACUCCAGAAUAUGCGCGAGUCGACUCUCCUUAUGCGCCUGUAGACUUCGAGUCGACUCCCGACAAUGUGCGAGUCGA